rnacentral:rRNA from 1 species
UACGUAGGGUGCGAGCGUUAAUCGGAAUUACUGGGCGUAAAGCGUGCGCAGGCGGCGCGUUAAGACAGAUGUGAAAUCCCCGGGCUCAACCUGGGAACUGCAUUUGUGACUGCAUGGCUAGAGUACGGUAGAGGGGGAUGGAAUUCCGCGUGUAGCAGUGAAAUGCGUAGAUAUGCGGAGGAACACCGAUGGCGAAGGCAAUCCCCUGGACCUGUACUGACGCUCAUGCACGAAAGCGUGGGGAGCAAACAGG